CCAAUACUCAUCUUGAAAUAAAAGUGGGCCUCUCCCAAAGCCAACAUAAUCUAAAGAUCUAAUAAAUAUUACGAUUCACUUGGAUUUUAAGCCUAACGACCACAGACAAAAAGGUCCUCUCUCACAAUCGUCCUAUCUGCAGGAGGAGAUAAAAUGUGCUCUCCACACCCCCCUGCCCUAGACGGGAGGCCUGGCGCGCCUCCUGCCAGAGUGGAGGGCUCUGAAAGGAUGCGUAGACACUCGAUCUGAAGCACAAAGAGCUGAAAGAGCAGAGAGCCACGUCCGUCCUGCGCACAUUUCUUUUUCAUUGUGUCCUUCAUUUGAUCCACGCACCAAGUAUCUCCAUUAGCGCCCACAGGACUCCCGGGAGCAGAGCAAAGGGACGAUGUUCCAGCAAUGAAUCAUCUGGUUCCUGAGCGAGCCUCUGGUUUUCCUUGGAUCCCCACGGCUGUAGGUCUCGGAUCCUCCUGUCCCUUUUUACCUGUGCCUUCAGGCAGGGGUUCAUGUAUAAAGCCCCAGCAAGCGAGAACUUUGAAUCGAGGGCUCGGUGGGGAGUGAGCCAGGUUCAGGGGCUGGCUAAGGUCUGCUUUUGUUCUGAGAUUAAUUAGAGUUGCAUUUUCCCCCGCCAAGUGUCACCGAAACAGUAGCACUAAGGCCGUGGGAGCAGACCUCACCUAAUUGUACAUCUUCCCACUUCUUGUCACAAGAACGCAGAUUGCCCAUUUGCUGGCAGUGCACUGAUGCAUGGGCUCUGUUUACUUGACCUGCAGUCCUGAAUGGCUCUGUCCUAGUCAGUCGGGGCAGAACAGGCUCCUCAAGAGGUCUAGGGUGCUGGAUCCCCAGGCAUCUUGUUGGAUCAGAGUUAAGGACAAUGAGAGAGGUCAGCAGAAAAGAAGCCGUUCUUACCUGGCCUGGCUCUUUCUCUCCCUCCACAUCUCCUUACCCCUAAUCAGCCCUAGGUUUAGACUUCCAGAGAGAAGAGGAUGGGAUGAGGAUGCCGGGUCUGAUGAGCACUGCUGAGGCAAGCGCAGGAGAGGAGUGGAGCUCAUUCGUGGAGCUCCACAUUCUGUGGCUCGGAAGGCCCAAGACCAGGCAAGGAUACCGGAGGCUCAGGAUGUUUUGUCCCACUCUGGGAUAGCCUUGGACACAUCGAGGGUCUAGAACUGCUGACCCAGGACCACCACUACUCUAGAAGAGACCUAACUAGAACCAGCCCGUAGGUGCAAUGACUUCUUUCUCUGGAUUCACCCCGGUGUCUCUCAUCAUUUGGCGGCUCCUGCCGGAGGUCAGGGGCCUUUAGCUAGGCCGAGAACCAUCUCUCCAACCAUGUACCAGCUGUAGAUCUUGGGGCAGUUACUUAACCUUGAUGUGUUUCAUCUGGAAAAUGGAAAUGAUAGCUCCCCGAUGAAAUAAUGCAUUUUGCAAAAGGUUUAGCAACGUGCCUAGUUUGGGGCAAGCCCUCAAUCAGUGGUCACCGUUCUUCUUGUUACCCAUUUUUCACAGUAAUACUGUGAAAAAGUAUAAUAAAUACUGUUAUUUUAGUAUUAUUUACUAAAACAGUCUGACCCGUCCCCACAUGUUCUAUGCCCCCUUGGCACCGAUGCCAGGGGUCGCUGGAGAAGGCUCUGCGGGGAAGCCUGAACCUUAGGAAGUGGUGGCCGCUCCAGUGGUGUGACGUCAGAAUGUUCUGGGCUUGGAAGAAAAGGUUUCCUCUCCGGGCUGCCUCUGCAUAGAAAAGAAGGGAGAGGUGAGGAACAAAUCUGUUUACUUUUUCUUCGCUGUAGAGUAAAUGAGGUUUGUUGAGCCAGCACACGGUUGUUUGCAGAACUCAGGUUUUCCAAGAAUGGGGGCUUGUGAAUGGAGGCAGUGAUAGCAUGGGUUCGCCCUCUUUCCUCCUACAUGCAGCCCCAGAAUUUGCCAAGACCGGCUUUUCUGUGCUCCUCCGGCCAGUGCCAGUGCCACAGGACUCCCUCCGCAUGCCCGCAUGGCCUCUGCUCUGCCCCCCUGGUGGGCGGGAGGACACAUUCACAGACGACAGCUCCAGGAAAUCAGGAAAUAAGCCCGUCUCUGACCCAGAUUUGGCAAUUCCAAGCUAAAUUCUUUAAACAUUUGGAAGGAUUGUAGAGAAGGAAAACAGCUAAUAACUGUAUUCCUUACUGAAAUAUUGGAAUGAAAAUGUGAAGAAUGUAUCAAGGGUAUUUGUAGACCUUCAGCUGGGAUCCCCCGAGUUCUAAACCCGAGAGUGAAGAGUCUGUGCUGCAAAGCCUCCGUGACAGCCAGGCACCCCCAAAGGUAGAGUCCAAGCCCCUCUGCACGAUGCACAGAAUGUUCCAUCAAGUGCCACCUGCCGCCUCUCCAGCCUUGGACAGAGGCUGGAUGGUGACUAAGAGACCUUCCAGUAUUCAUAGAUUUGGAUUCAAGUUUUCAAGCAAAACUCGGGCGUGAAGAAGCUGUCGCCCAAGGAGAAGGGUGGGCGCUGGGGGAGGCUCAAGCAUGACCCCGGGGUGCUCAGUGUGUAGGCACUGCAGGCUGCUCCAGGAGAAGGUCCGUGGAAGAGCGGGGGUCUUAGAACUUGAUUAUUAACUAAAAGAUUAAAUCGUAUUGAAAGAGAACCAGAUCCUGAGUUUCCCUUUUAAUUCUGCUGCUUAUUACCAGUGUGAACCUGGGUGAGUUACUUAUGAUGCCCAAGCCCUAUUUCCUUCCCCAGUAAUAAUACCUGUCUAACCAACCCCAUGUUUUGUGAGAUUAAGUGCAGUUUGUAACUGUAAAGCACUACACCAAUAUGAGUGAUGAUUACUUUCACCAUAAUUCUGGGGCUUCAGAAGAAACAAUGACAAGGUGAUCGAUUAUUUUCAAGGUCCUUAGAAGAAGAGGAAUAAACAAAAAUACUUAAAAAAAUAAGUGACUUCUGAUAAUAUAUAUAUAUUUUUUAAAAAAUUAGCAGACUCAGGCUAGGAAGGGUUCAUUGUAGAGGGAGUUUCAGAGACCAAGUAUAUUAAUCAGGAUGCUUCAGAGAAACAAAACCAAAGGAUAUAUAUCUAUAUGCUACCCUUACAAAAAGUUUAAAGAUUGAGACACAGAUGGUGACAGGGUUAGAAAGAGAGAGAUUUGUUUAAGGCCUUGGCUCAGGUGAUUUUGGAAGCUGGAAAGUCUGCAGCAGCCUGGUGACCCAGGGAAGAGUUAAUGCUGCAGCUCUAGUUCAAUUCCCUGUUCUUCAGAGCUCCUGUCUUUUCUUUUAAGGCCUUCAACUGAUUGGAUGAGCCCCACACACAUUACAAAGAUAAUCUACUUUACUUGAAGUCUUCGGAUACAAAUGUCAAUCCUAUCUUUAAAAACCCGUUACAGCAGCAUCUAAACUGGCAUUUGACUAAAUGUCUCGAUACCAUGUCCUAGCCAGGUUGACACAUAAAAUUAACCACCACGGCAAGUAAUCCAGCACUGCCACUCAGGGUAGUUUUGCAGGUUCUCAAAGACCCUAGCAGGGUGGAGACCAAACAAAUAACAUGGGGACCAGCUGAGUAAUCUCAGGACUUCACUGGAUGCUGAAGGGCAAAUGGAAAAGCAUUAAAGAUAGAAGACAUUGGGCCAGAUUGCUGAAGAUGGUGCUAAGGGUGGGUAGGAAGGAAACAAGUACUAUCGCUAGAGCCGUCAGUAAGAUAGGCAUGAGCAGGAAGGGAGAAGGGAGGAUGGAGAUGGGAAAUUGCAGAGACCACCCAAUCUCCGCCCAAAGACCAACCCCUUUUAUGGUUUAGCACAGUCUGAUAAACAGAAGACAUGGGCCACUGGGACCGUCCAACUUUGGAGCAUGCGCACGUAAGAAAAACCUUGUCCCUAAUAUUCUCAAGGCUGUUAUAAUAUCAUUAUGAUAUCAUUUGCACUGAGACUUUGCCCCACCCUCACCCCCACCUCCACCCCCACCCCAUGGGUUUCACUUAGGAGCUCGUCAGAAGAUGGCCAACUUGAACACCUGCAAAAGGUUGGAGGGGAAGAAACCAGGGGGAGGGAUCUAAGAGGUGGUGUGAUGGUGACAAGAUGGGACAGAGGAGACCAAAUAGACCCACAUAAGAAAACGCAAAGCAGAAGUCAUCAGGCUGCUCCCCACCCUCAGAAUUCUUUCCUUUGAGAAGACAAGAACUAAGGAAUUCCACAGUCCACCACCAGGUAACACAACGAGAAGGGAGGCCGACAAGUAUUUCAGAAGCUGCUUCAGCAGCAGCUGAGUCCAAGCAGGACCAAGUGCUGGUGGAGGGGAGGCCUAAGCAGUCUCCGCUACAGGAAGGAAUGCUGGAGAGGACAAUAAAAGGCAGAAGCGGUCAUUUGUCUUUCAGCAUGAAUUCCAAAUUGUUGAGAACCAAUACUUGAAGCGUCUGAUCCAAAAACUCCAGGAAAAAGCUCUCCUGUUGUCCUUCAGUUCUGAAGACCAGAAGUCCAAGAUCAAGAUGUCAGCAAUACUGGUGUCCGGUGUGAGCCCUCUCCUUGGUUGCAGAUGCCUGCCAUCUCUCUGUGUACUCUCUGUGCGCAGAGGAAGCAGGGGCAGGGAGCUGCUAAGGGACAUAUCCCUUUGGCUUGGAAUCCAGAAAACAGGGACAUGGGACUGGAGAUGUUCCAGGAUAACUGAUGUGUACCAAGUUAAAGAACACCAGUCCACUUUGGAGCUGGAAGGAAAACCGUAAGAAAACUAGGAACCUCUAUUAUCUCUAUGAACUACAUUAUUAACAAAAAGUUUAAUUAAAAGGACACCCUCAUGUUGUGCAGUCCAGGUAAAUUUCUCAAGAAGCUCUGUCAGGUUGGAGAGCCAGUCCAGGUUUACUUUGGCCAGCUCAUCUGAGUUCUUUCUGUAAUGGUGAGCAUAAAAACUGGACAGUGCUACAGAAGGCUCAAGAAAUACAGAGACAUCAAGAAAUAGCUGAGAUUUCAUCUAGACACUCAAAUUAGACUCCCACAGUGAAAUUAAAGCUUUCCUCAAGGUUGCUCAUCCUUAUAGAUCCUCGGAAGCUUUGUACUUGGGCUUUGAGCUCAAGCAGGAAAAGAGAUGCCACAGAUUUCACCCAGAAAUGGUCUUUUUCACUCCAUCUCCAGGAGGUGGCUUUGUCUGUUGCUCCCUCAACUCACCGGAUGACUCAAUCACAAGGAUUAGACCUCGUCUUGCCGGAUCACUGGAGCAUGGCAAGCAGUUGUGUACGUCUGCUGUUCCUGUGCGGGCUGGUGGACAUGAGGUCAGCAGAGCCAGCAGUGAGAACAAGCCAAUGGUUGGGAAGUGGGGGCAGGUGAGAGCAGACAGGAGUCUGGGAGAAGGAGCUGGAAUCUGCUUCCCUUUCUCACUGGAACCCACUUCAGCCUCUCAGCACCUUCAAGUGUCCAGCUCCAGCAGAGAACUGGCACAUGUCACCAGAAAGCCCUCAUGCACCUGCCCUGGAGUCAAGGAGGCUCAAGGAAGAGUUCUGUGGAGGCUGGAGGAGCUGUGGGUGGGGCGGCUGCCUCACACCCGAAGAUGAGCUAACAGACCGCCCCCCAACCCCCCCAGCAAGCCUGAUCUUAUUACACUGGCAAACUUUAUGUUGUUCUCACUUUCUGCCUCAUUCAUGUAUUUAAGAAAUUGUUCCUGAAGGAAAAGCGAUAGUAGAGAUUGAAUAAAUAAAUGGAAAAGGUGCUUGAGACUUACCCACCCACCUCUGGGUAAAACCCUAUCUUUGUAGUCCCUGGGGUCUACUAAGACCAGUGGCUCUUCCAAAAAUGUCUUCUAAAUUCAAUCUCUUUUGGAAACUGGAAAAAUCAACCUUUUCCUAACAGUAUUGAAAGAGGCAAAUAAUCUUAGUGUUAUUAACAAGAUCAGUUAAACAACCCGAAUGGUAAACACCCCUUCCCAAGAAGGUUUGCAGUUUUAGUACCCUGUCUCUCACACCACGGAGAUUCUGAUCCUUCUUCUCCAGGAUUGCGAAUCAGAGCUCUACAGCAAUCAUUCCUAAGGCGGUGUGGCAAGACAGCCUCAUCUGAAUUAUCUGGCAAGAUUUUUUAAUUGCACCCAAAACCCCAUGACAAGUGGUCAGACAUAGAGGAGAAGGCCCUGGCAAGGAGAGCAGCAGGGACUAGAAUUACAUGGUCACAUGACGAGCAAUGACUGGAGCCACUAGAAGGCAGAGGGAGCAAGGAAGGAGUCUCCUCUAGAGCCUUUGGAGGGAUGGACGCCCUCCCUGGUCUACACUUUGGUUUUAGGCUUUGGAACUGUGAAACAACAGAUUUCUGUUUGUUUUAAGCCAUCAGGUUUGUGGCAAUUGUUAACGGCAGCCCCAAGAAACUAGUACACCCUGCACGUGUCCUCAUAACCCUGCAAAUGAAAGUUAAUGCUUGGUACAGAAGGGGCUUCCAGGAAACUGUUCUAGUAUCGUGGACAAGCAGCAGUUCUGAUGGGUUAGCAGUUCUGAUGGGUUCUUCCUGCAUAACAUCAUGCAGGAAGUUUAAAAAGAGAGCAAUGCCAGUUGUGAAAUACUUUGAAGAACACCCUGAAAAAAAGUGUAAGCGUAUGAUUGAGCCUCGUGCAGGUAAACAUUGAAGAACAAUAUAAAACAGAAAUGGUUUUGUUAAUGAUUAGGAAAUGAGCCCAGGUGGGAAGAAAGACCUAUUUUUGCAUUUUGUUCUCUUCUACACUGUUUGGAGUUUUAUUUUCCCCACGCAUAACCUAUUUUUUAAAUCCCUAAGAAAAAAAAUAAAACACCACGUAGUUCUGAUAACAGACAUGUUCGAGAAUGCCUGCAUUAGGGACCAGCUAAAAGAGGCACAAGAGAGUCAGCCCAAGGCAAAAUUCGGAAACACAUGAGGUGGUUCUGGGAGUUUCCAAUCUAGAUGAUUCUGAAGGUCAAGAAAGAAAGGUCAAAGAUCUGAGUAACCAGAGGUUAUCUGUUUCUAAGUUUCAUCACAUGUGAAGCCUCUACCAUCCCAGAAACAGCCAUAUUUUAGCCAGGUCUCUCUUCUCGGCUGGGAGGACCAUUCAUUCACGAAUACGGACACUGCUUUGCAUAUCAUUAUUUACGCCACUGCUUGCCUACCUCCUGAGGUGUUUAUGGUGAGGAGUAUCACAUAUAUAAAAUCACACUAAUGUUUUAUAUGAAAAGGAAAUCAUACUGAAAAGGAGAAAAGUCCAUGGCACCUUGUUAACAGCCCCCACUGCCGUCAGUGAGAUCUGUCAAGGGUUCUGGUUGCAAAACAUUGAUUUUAUAA